rnacentral:rRNA from 1 species
AUACAUGCAGUCGAGCGAAUGGAUUAAGAGCUUGCUCUUAUGAAGUUAGCGGCGGACGGGUGAGUAACACGUGGGUAACCUGCCCAUAAGACUGGGAUAACUCCGGGAAACCGGGGCUAAUACCGGAUAACAUUUUGAACCGCAUGGUUCGAAAUUGAAAGGCGGCUUCGGCUGUCACUUAUGGAUGGACCCGCGUCGCAUUAGCUAGUUGGUGAGGUAACGGCUCACCAAGGCAACGAUGCGUAGCCGACCUGAGAGGGUGAUCGGCCACACUGGGACUGAGACACGGCCCAGACUCCUACGGGAGGCAGCAGUAGGGAAUCUUCCGCAAUGGACGAAAGUCUGACGGAGCAACGCCGCGUGAGUGAUGAAGGCUUUCGGGUCGUAAAACUCUGUUGUUAGGGAAGAACAAGUGCUAGUUGAAUAAGCUGGCACCUUGACGGUACCUAACCAGAAAGCCACGGCUAACUACGUGCCAGCAGCCGCGGUAAUACGUAGGUGGCAAGCGUUAUCCGGAAUUAUUGGGCGUAAAGCGCGCGCAGGUGGUUUCUUAAGUCUGAUGUGAAAGCCCACGGCUCAACCGUGGAGGGUCAUUGGAAA